rnacentral:lncRNA from 1 species
GGCACUGUCCUCUCACUCUCAGUUUUAAAAUGAAGACCUGGGAUUACUUUUUGCUGCAAUUAUUAUUGAAAAAGUUGAUACCUAGUUUAGGUGAAUUUGACAAGUUACUAAUUUCCAAACAUUUUUCUAAUGAUUUUUCAUAAUUAAAAUGUCAAAAGCCCUAAAACGUGGUUGUGGGCUUGGAGUGUCGGUUGUUCUCAAGCACAGGUUGUUUUGCAAAAACCCUUGUAGAGUGCGUUGGUAUGAAGAACCUCAAGUCCUGGGCCAGCAUCAACCGAGGAGCCAUCGUUCUUUCCAGCCUUCUUCAGAGUUGUGACCAGGACGUUGUAAACAAAGUCAAAGCUGGACUGAAAACCCUGAUUCCUACCUUGGAAAAAACCAAAAGCACCAGCAAAGGCAUCCAGACUCUGCUUGAGAAGUUGACUGCAUAGGCGCGCCAGAUGAGCAAGCUGGAACCCGCUUCCCGAGGGGAAGGGUGGAAUCUGUCACACUCAUAACUGGAUGCCCUAUGCAUGUACUUGUUAAAGGACCUAUUUAUAUAUAAAAUUGUAAAAGAG